rnacentral:rRNA from 1 species
GAACGAACGCUGGCGGCGGGGCUUAGGCAUGCAAGUCGAGCGAGAAAAGCGCAAGCUGAGUACAGCGGCGUAAGGGUGAGUAAUAGGUAGUCAACGUACCGUCAGGACGCGGAUAAUUCCUCGAAAGGGGUUGUAAUACGCGAUGAGACCACGCCCGGUUCGCCGGGAGGGGUCAAAGGUAGGGGAUCCUUCGGGACCUGGCGCCUGAUGAGCGGACGACCUCCGAUUAGCUAGUUGGCGGGGUAACGGCCCACCAAGGCGAUGAUCGGUAACCGGGCUGAGAGGCUGUCCGGUCACACUGGCACUGAGACACUGGCCAGACUCCUACGGGAGGCUGCAGUCGCGAAUCUUUCACAAUGGGCGCAAGCCUGAUGAAGCCACGCCGCGUGCGGGAUGAAGGCCCUCUGGGUUGUAAACCGCUGUCAAGGGAGGGGAACCGCUGCACGUGAACAAUGUGCAGUCUGACUGCUCCCUAAAGGAAGCCCCGGCAAAACAUGUGCCAGCAGCCGCGGUAAUACAUGUGGGGCAAGCGUUGUUCGGAAUUACUGGGCAUAAAGGGUGCGUAGGUGGUCUGAUAAGUCAGUGGUGAAAUCCCGUGGCCCAACCAUGGAACUGCCAUUGAUACUGUCGGACUCGAGUGCGUGAGGGGUGACUGGAACGCGUGGUGUAGCGGUGAAAUGCGUAGAUAUCACGCGGAAGGCCAACGGCGAAGGCAAGUCACUGGUGCGCAACUGACACUGAGGCACGAAAGCGUGGGGAGCAAACAGGAUUAGAUACCCUGGUAGUCCACGCCGUAAACGAUGGGCACUGGGUCGGUGGGGAGCUAGUCUCUGCCGGCCGUAGGCAAUUUGCUAAGUGCCCCGCCUGGGGAGUAUGGUCGCAAGGCUGAAACUCAAAU